rnacentral:rRNA from 1 species
GACGUAGGGCGCGAGCGUUUGUCCGGAUUAUUGGGCGUAAAGAGCUCGUAGGCGGUUUGUCGCGUCGUCCGUGAAAACUUGGGGCUCAACCCCAAGCUUGCGGGCGAUACGGGCAGACUUGAGUACUGCAGGGGAGACUGGAAUUCCUGGUGUAGCGGUGAAAUGCGCAGAUAUCAGGAGGAACACCGGUGGCGAAGGCGGGUCUCUGGGCGAGUGAACUGCGCUGAGGAGCGAAAGCGUGGGUAGCAAACAGG